GGGGGAUCUCUGCAAAUGGACCCUUGUGAGCGUUCUCUCAAGUUAAAUUGGAACUAUGAUGUCAUCUCAAGGUGAAAGAAGCUGUAACGAAGAAGACAAGCGGUUUGAGUUACUGAGGGAGAAGAAGAGCAUGGGAAAAUCUAGGCAACACGAAACGGCGGCGGGGGGCAGGCGGGAAAACGCCAGGCAAAUUGUGUUUACUUUUGAAUGCAUGGACCAGUGCCAGGAGACCUGCGGAUGAUGAUCUUUUUGACACAGUGAUUGGCUGUUCGGGUUUGUUAUGCUUUCAGUAUUUUGAUACAAAUGCAGCUUCUAUAAAUUUGCAUUCCACGCAGAAAUGCAGUCUGGAUGGUUGUUUGCAGAAGGAAGCUAUAUCUUUCUGUCUCAAGCAUUACACCAAUUUGUUGGCAGCAUCAUGUGGCAGUCCCAACACAGCAAGGUUAUAAAGAAGCAGAAGUCCCUAAGUCCUUCACCGCCUCAUGAACCCAGACUGUUGUUAGCAAUGGACACAAGCAUCAAGUUAAGGGCUGGAGGGCUGUUUCCUGUGGUUCCAGUGUUAGGCUUUGACACCAACACACCCACUACAGAGAGCAACAGCACACACAGCCAAGGAAUGUCAGAAAACACAGUCUCCAUCACAGAAUUUCUUAGGCCAGCAAUAUUACACAAAAUCGAUCUUCAACAGAAGAAUACUGUAUCUGAGAAAAUACAACUUUUAAAAAUUAAUAUUCAGAAAGAAAGAAUAAAACUGUUUGCAGAUCGAGGGGCUUUUAUUUAAUUAUUUGAUUGAAAUAAAACAAUAUUUUAAAUAUAUACUGAGCUUUUA
rnacentral:lncRNA from 1 species